rnacentral:rRNA from 1 species
AUUGAACGCUGGCGGCAUGCUUUACACAUGCAAGUCGAACGGCAGCACGAGUGCUUGCACUUGGUGGCGAGUGGCGAACGGGUGAGUAAUACAUCGGAACGUGUCCUAAAGUGGGGGAUAACGCAUCGAAAGAUGUGCUAAUACCGCAUAAUCUCUAAGGAGAAAAGUAGGGGAUCGAAAGACCUUAUGCUUUUGGAGCGGCCGAUGUCUGAUUAGCUAGUUGGUGGGGUAAUGGCCUACCAAGGCGACGAUCAGUAGCUGGUCUGAGAGGAUGGCCAGCCACACUGGGACUGAGACACGGCCCAGACUCCUACGGGAGGCAGCAGUGGGGAAUUUUGGACAAUGGGCGCAAGCCUGAUCCAGCAAUGCCGCGUGAGUGAAGAAGGCCUC